GACGAACGCUGGCGGCGUGCUUAACACAUGCAAGUCGAACGGAAAGGCCCUGCUUUUGUGGGGUGCUCGAGUGGCGAACGGGUGAGUAACACGUGAGUAACCUGCCCUUGACUUUGGGAUAACUUCAGGAAACUGGGGCUAAUACCGGAUAGGAGCUCCUGCUGCAUGGUGGGGGUUGGAAAGUUUCGGCGGUUGGGGAUGGACUCGCGGCUUAUCAGCUUGUUGGUGGGGUAGUGGCUUACCAAGGCUUUGACGGGUAGCCGGCCUGAGAGGGUGAACGGCGCCACUAGAACGGAGACACGGGCCAGACGCCUACGGGAGGGAGCAGUAGGGAAUCUGCCGCAACGGGGGGAAGCCUGACGGAGCAGCGGCGCGUGAGUGAUGAAGUUCUUCGGAGCGUAAAACUCUGUUAUUAGGGAAGAACAUAUGUGUAAGGAACUGUGCACAUCUUGACGGGACCGAAUAAGAAAGCCACGGCUAACUACGUG
rnacentral:rRNA from 1 species